rnacentral:lncRNA from 1 species
AUGAGUGUAAACAGUAAAUGCUCUGGUAAUAAACUGAUUUCCUUUUUCCCCAUCUUUUGGCAGAGUGUGACAAGCUGCGGAGAGAUGGCUAUCGGAGCUCUCAGUAUUACUCUCAGGGCCCCACCUUCUCCUCGUCCUCCAGUGCAAUCUGUGGAAGUUACCAGGAUGAUUAUGAAGAAAUUGAACAAAAGUGUUCUGUCUCUUCCCCAGAAGAAGAAAAGCUUAUCACCAUCAAAAGGCCUAAAACCCCAGUUUCAAGUGAGUUAUCAGAUAUCAACACACAAACCAACUGGACUAAGUCGCUUCCACUGCCAACACCAGAAGAGAAGAUGCGACAGCAAGCACAGGCAGUCCAAACAGAUGUGGUUCCUAUUAAUGUGACUGGGGAGAAUUUCGACCGCCAAGCCAGCAUUCGGCGGUCUCUAAUUUACACAGACACGGUGGUAAGACGGCCGAAGAAAGUCAAAAGGAGAAAGACUAUAACAGGAAUCCCUGACAACAUACAAAAGGAGCUAGGUAUGGCUCAUCAGAACUGUAUUCCAUCCACUGUUCAUUGUCACUGCUUAUCAUUACUCGACUAAUAACAUUACCAGUGCUCAUGAAACCAAUACAGUCUGAUAGCCAAUUACAGUUCCAAAUAAGCAGGUGCCUCCUCGCCACCUGGAAAUAAGGGCCUUUUAUCUGUGAGCUUCCUUCUGCUGAAGGGAAUGUGGUAUUUGGAAAAUGGUUUACUGGUGCAAUAGAAAUCUACAGUGAUGUAAUUUUUUGUGGUCUUUAAUGCCUUUCUGGAGAAUUGGUCCACUCCCCUAAGAUGUUAAUGGAAGCAAAAUUGAAGUGGGUAGGUGUUUCAGCUUGCAGAGUUAUCCAGUGGGAUAAACCAAUUCAUUGAUGCCUUCUUGGAUCUGCUGAGAGUUGCAUCAACAGUGAAAAUCUGUAAAACUUCCAGUUUAGUUUAGAUCUAAUUGGCAACCACUUAAAUGUCAACAUUAUUUGAUUUCAGAUAAUUUACAUGUUACCAUUAUCUAUUUCAUAUAUAUCAAAGGAAAAAUGCUGAAUCAGUCACAUUUACACUACCUCAGUCUGUAAUCUUUUCACAGUUAAUAGUGUACAAGACAUUCAGAGCUGAUGAAAUAGUCUGGGCAGCCUUUCACACAUUUUUUGCAGAAGUCUGAUAUUAGCUUUUUUUUUUUUUUGUAAGAUAUUCCAUUUUACCCAAAUGAUGACUUUAUAGAUACAAUGAUGACCUUCUGCAUCCCCUCCCUCCUUCUCUCUUUCUGCAGUAGAGAAAGAAUAUCUUAAAAUAGCCUGGCAGAAUAUAACUUUAAUUUUUUUAUCU